rnacentral:rRNA from 1 species
GUCUGUAUGAAGUUAUAUAAAGUCUAACCUGCCCAUUGAAUUUUAAAAGGCCGCGGUAUCUUAACUGUGCAAAGGUAGCAUAAUAAUUAGUUUUUUAAUUGAAAACUUGAAUGAAAGGUUGGACAAAGAAAAAUCUGUCUUAAGUAUAAAAUUUGAAUUUUACAUUUAAGUGAGAAGGCUUAAAUUAUUUUAAGGGACGAUAAGACCCUAUAAAUCUUUACAUUAAUUUGUUUUUUUUGUUCUAGAUUAUUAAUUAAAUAAAACAUAAAAGAAUGUUUUGUUGGGGUGACAGGAAUAUAAAUAAUUAACUGUUUUUAUAAAAAACAAAUAUGUUUGAUUAAGGUAUUAGAUCCCUUGUAAGGAUUAAAAGUUUAAGAUACUUUAGGGAUAACAGCGUUAUUUUUUUUGAGAGUUCUUAUCGAAAAAAAAGUUUGCGACCUCGAUGUUGAAUUAAAAUUUUCUUUAUGGUGCAGAAGUUAUAUAAAGAGAGUCUGUUCGACUUUUAAAAUUUU